rnacentral:lncRNA from 1 species
CUCAUACUCUCCAUUUAUUUCUCUUCUCUAAGGUUGAUCUAACUCUUCAAACCAUACCAUAUUUCUUUUAAGCCUUUGCAUUCCUUUCAGCUUUCCUUUGACGCCCUACCUAAUUGUGAAUUACAGAUCAGAAAUGAUUUUCGAAAGAGAAGAAGCGGCUGAAGCUGGAAGUAUAUCUACAAAACAACAAAGCGAGCUAAGAAUUAAUGAGGAUAGCAAUGAAGCAAUUGAAGAGGAGAAUCCAGGAGACUGGUUGAACCUCAGAGUAGGUGGGAAUUCACUAUCAUCAACAGCUGGAGACUCUGACCCCCAAUCAAGACCAGUUUCUGCCAAGGUUUUCUCAUGUAACUUUUGCAUGAGGAAGUUUUACAGUUCCCAAGCCUUGGGUGGCCACCAGAACGCC